rnacentral:sRNA from 1 species
GCUGGGCUUGGUGGCCUAUGCCUGUAAUCCCAGCAGCUCAAGAGGCUGAGGUAGGAGGAUCAUGAGUUCAAAGCCAGCCUCAGAAAUUUAGUGAGGUGCUAAGAAGUCAGUGAGAUCCUGUCUCUA